rnacentral:lncRNA from 1 species
UUUUUCCCAUUUUGUAGGCUGUCUUUUUGUUUUGUUUAUGGUUUCCUUUUCUGUGCAAAAGCUUUUAGGUUUAGUUAGGUCCCAUUUGUUUGUUUUCGCUUUUGUUUCUAUUACUCUAGGAGACAGAUCCAAAAAAAUAUUGCUAUGAUUUAUGUCAAAGAGUGUUCUGCCUGUGUUUUCCUCUAGUAAUUUUAUGGUAUCCAGACUUAUGUUUAGGUCUUUAAUCCGUUUUGAGUUUACUUAGGACUUCAUUUCCUUUUAUUGUUGGAUGGUGUUCUAUUGAAGAGACAUACCAUGUUUGUCUUCUCUCCCGUCCUUACUGUGUGUGUGUGUGUGUGUGUGUGUGUGUGUGUGUGGGUGGGUGGGUGUGCGUGUGGGUGUGGAUGUGUGUGUGCACAGUCUCACACUAUAAAUCAACUGUAAUAAAAAAAAGUUUCAGAAAUUGGUGUGCCCUUUGACAAAGCCUACUAGGAAAUAAAUGCACAACAGUGUAGCCAGUUUUGUUCUUUAGAGUGUUGUUAUAUGUAAGAGUAGAACCUGGCAAAGAACCUGAAUGACCAACCAAAGGAAGUAAAUUAAAUACAUUUCAGUCUGUCCAGAUAAUAGAAUACUUUUCUUUCUUUUUGUCUUUUUAGGGCCGCACCAACCGCAUAUGGAGGUUCCCAGGCUAGGGGCUGAAUCGGAGCUAUAGCUGUCAGCCUGCACCACAGCCACAGCCAACCUAUAUCACAGCUCACAGCACUGCCGGAUCCUUAACCCACUAGGCAAGGCCAGGGAUCAAGCCUGCAUCCUCAUGGAUGCUAGUCAGCUUCACUUCCACUGAGCCAUGGCAGGAACUCCUAGAUAAUAGUAUACUUCUCAGUAUUAAAAUUAUAUUGAGGAUGAAGGAACCAUUGAGAAAUUCAGGGUAUAAUAAUAUAAAAAAUACUAUAUGAGAGGUGACCUUCUGGGGUAAAUAUGUGUAUAUACAUACACCGACCAGGAAAAGUGUCAAUAUCAUGAGGUAUAAAUGAACCCAUAGAUUUUUUUAUCCCUUUUCUAACAUGAUUUUGGAGCUCACUUCAGCACAUAUGCUAAAAUGGGAACAAUACAGCUAGCAUGGCCUCUGUGCAAAGAUGACCUGCAAUUUUGUGAAGCAUCCCAUAUUUUUAACAUGAUUUUCUAUUUUCUAUUAUAAAAAAGUAAGUUAUUUAAUUAACAGCCAAACAGCAUAUUAGUGAAAUAUUUGCAGCAAAUGUGAUAAAUGAAGGCUCGGUAUCUUCACCGUAUGAAGACUUCGUAGGAAAUAUUUAGAGAAUAACAUGAACUCAGAAAACAAGAUACACAACCAAUUAAGAAACAAUCAGCUUUAAUGGUGAGAGGAUAUAUACAAAUUUUAACACUAGCUAAGAUAUGGUUUUUAAAAAUUCUAAUAUUUUUCUGGUGGAAUUAUAAACGGGCACCUUUCUUGCAGAAAGCAAUCUCACAUGAAUUAAGAGCCUUUACAUAUAAGUCACAGAGCUAUAAAAAUAUUAGAGGAAAAUAUAAGGGAAUUUGUUAAUGAUGUCAGGAUAGAGAAAGCCUCCCUAAAUAAGCCAACAAAUAUAGAUGCCAAAAUAGAAAUGAUGACAUGCACGUCUGCUCAAAAUGUGAAGUCAUUCUAUGACAACAGAGUGCACAGCUCAGUUAAAAGACAAGCAAGAGAUUAAGGAGGGUUAGCCUGCCAGCUACAAGUGAAUAAGGAGACUGGCACAUCAGUUCCCUAAAAGCAACACGGAAGGUGGAAAAAAAUCAACAAAAACUACCAUUUAAGUACCCUGGAAAUCACCAAAGUCAGAUACCAAUCUGAAAAUUGUCUAUGCUUGUAAAACCCCUGGACUCUAAGUAAGAGCAGUGGGACUCCGCAGCAUUCUGCCCUGGGACUCCAACCGUCACUCACCACCACCACCACCACCACCACCCUCAUUACCACCACCAUCACUACCACCACCACCACCACCAUCACUACCGACAUCACCACUGUCACCACCAUCACCACCAGUGUCACUCACCACCACCACCACCAUCACCACCAGAAUCACCCUCAUUACCACCACCACCACCACCAUCACCAUCACCAUCACCACAUCACCACCAGAAUCACCCUCAUCAUCACCAUCACCACCACCAUCACCAUCACCAUCACCACCAUCACCACCAUCACCACCAUCACCCUCAUCAUCACCAUCACCACCACCAUCGCCAUCACCAUCACCACCAUCAUCAUCACCACCAUCAUCAUCAUCAUUAUCAUCACCACCACCAUCACCACUACCGACAUCACCACUGUCACCACCAUCACCACCUGUGUCACCACCACCAU